rnacentral:rRNA from 1 species
GGUCAAGCUACUAAGGGCGUGCGGUGAAUGCCUUGGCGCCAGGAGUCGAUGAAGGACGUGGUCAGCUGCGAAAAGCUUCGGUGAGCCGCAAACAGGCGUUGAUCCGAAGAUGUCCGAAUGGGGCAACCCACUCAGGCUCAUCCCUGAGUAUCGCCA